rnacentral:rRNA from 1 species
CUGGGCUGGAUGAGUGGCGAACGGGUGAGUAACACGUGAGUAACCUGCCCUCUUCUUUGGGAUAACGGUCGGAAACGGCUGCUAAUACCGGGUAUUCACUGUCCUUCGCAUGGGGGGUGGUGGAAAGGUUUUUCUGUGGGGGAUGGGCUCGCGGCCUAUCAGCUUGUUGGUGGGGUGAUGGCUUACCAAGGCUUUGACGGGUAACCGGCCUGAGAGGGUGACCGGUCACAUUGGGACUGAGAUACGGCCCAG